GCAUGGCCUAGGGGAUGAUGAGCUGCGCUUGGCAUCUGUAAGUUUGGACUGUCUCAGGUACUUACUGACUGUGUAACUGAGCCAAGGGCUUAAUCCUCUUGCCCUUCAAUUUUCCCAUCCAUAAAAUGGGAACAGUAAUAGUGUAACUAGUUCCCAGGGCAGUUGUGAGGAUCCAAUAAUAGAAUGCAGAUAUAUUGCUUGGACCUCAGAGCACUCUGCUAAGUGACAGCUGUCACGUCAGUGUGGGUGACACGUUCCUGAUUAUCCAGCUCUGGGCUCCGUACGGUGACUCCCAAUGAGCAUUGUUGACUCACUCUUGUUCUGUUGGUUUACAGCCCACGUUUGCAGAUCAGUGGGAGACCAGAUGUCUUCUCAGAGCCCCACGUUAGUGUGCCACAAGCCAAUGCCAACGAGAACAGCCCAGACAGCAGUAGGGGUGGAAUCAUGGCUGGCUUUCCCAUCACGGUAGCCAUGAGAACUCAAUCACUGGUAUCGUGGUACAUGGAGAAAGACCUGGAUUUGGAGGCAAAAGGCUUGGUCCCUAUGACAAAGGAUCCCAUUCAACUUUAACUCAUCAUUAUGAAACCCAAGGCAAGAAACUGAAGACCAGGGGAAUCAUGAUAAAUGUUGAAAUAUGUACAGAAGA